rnacentral:lncRNA from 1 species
AAGACCGAACUUUUUGGAGUGUUUUUCCCCUAAAAUCGACAAAUAAUUCUCAAAAUCAUACAAAUGACAAAUUUUAGUGCAACAUAAGCUGUAAAGAUUGAAUCUUUAUGAUAAAAGAUAUAAGAACAGAGGUGCCAAGAAAGACGGGAUAUAGAUACCAUUCUUGGAGCGCCAUCGAUCUCGGCGACCUCCAUGCCGGUGACGAUCAUGCCCGGGACGACCUCCCUGGUGAGUCGGACGAUGGCGUCCUCCGCUGCGUUCAUAUCCAGGGCCUUCAUCCCGGGCACCGAGUCGAUCAUCCCGAUGCCCUUCAGCCGCUUAACGCCGGUGGCGCCAAAGGGCCCGUCGUGGCCGCAGGAGCUCACCACCACCUUGGCCUCCAUCACGUUGGGGUCCAUGCAGGACUGGGUGUCAUGGUUCAUGGACACCAGCGCCCAGUUGGUCACCACGCCGGCGACGCGCCCUUCCUUGACGAUGAGGUCCUCGGCGGCGACGGCGUUGAAGAGCUUGACGUUGGGGCGGGCGAUGAGGCGGCUCAAGAUGGUGGAGGUGAAGAGUGCAGCGUGGCGGACCACGACGUAGCUGUCGGCCUCGUCGUACGGGACGCCGAGCUCGUCGAGGAAGAGGUGGGCGGGCUUGCGGACGACCAUGGCGGAGAAGAGCUGGCCGCCGAGCCACGCGCCGCCUCCUGGGGAGACGGACUGCUCCACGAUGGCCACGCGCACGGACGGGUCCUUGGAGAUCUCGUAUGCGCAGGACAGCCCCGCAGAGCCGGCGCCGAUGACCACCACGUCCGUAUCCGCAUAGCUGAUCAUGUCGGUCAUGUAGCGGCGGGUCAUCUCCCGGGAGACGAUGGACUCCUGGAUGGGCUUGAAGGAGAAGGAGCCAAGGUCAUACUUGGGGGCGGCCAAGGCGGAGGUGACAGACAGGGCGGCCUUGCCGCUGCCCGAGUGGGAUGGGAGGGGGGUAGCCGCCAGGCGGAGGCCACUGAAUGAGGAGCGGAGGUGGUGGUUGCCGGCGAAGAGGGACUUGGGGUUGGAGAGGAGGAAGGAGGUCGCCAUGGAUGCGGCCAUCGGAGGGAGCUCGGGAAGGGUAUGAGUUGGGGGUCUUGGAGAGGUUUAAGGAGGAUAAGAACGCGGUGGGAAGACGAGAG